AUCCCUUCUGGGACAUCCGAUAAAAUUGGAACGAUACAGAGAAGAUUAGCAUGGCCCCUGCACAAGGAUGACAAGCACAAAUCGAGAAAUGGUCCAAUUUUUU
rnacentral:snRNA from 3 species